rnacentral:rRNA from 1 species
AAUCAACGCUGGCGGCGUGCCUAACACAUGCAAGUCGAACGCGAAAGCCCCUUCGGGGGCAAGUAGAGUGGCGUCCGGGUGAGUAACACGUGGGUAAUCUACCUCCGGGUGGGGAAUAACUCGCCGAAAGGCGGGCUAAUACCGCAUAAUGCAGCGGCACCGAAUGGUGAUUAGUUGUUAAAGCGGGGGACCUUGGGGCCUCGCGUCUGGAGAGGAGCCUGCGGCAGAUUAGCUUGUUGGUAGGGAAUGGCCUACCAAGGCUGCGAUCUGUAGCUGGUCUGAGAGGACGGCCAGCCACACUGGCACUGACACACGGGCCAGACUCCUACGGGAGGCAGCAGUGGGGAAUUUUGGGCAAUGGGCGAAAGCCUGACCCAGCAACGCCGCGUGAAGGAGGAAAUCCUUCGGGAUGUAAACUUCACAAGCAAGGGAAGAGCGCGCAGGGUCGAAUAAACUCUGCGUCCGACGGUACCUUGCGUAAGCCACGGCUAACUACGUGCCAGCCGCCGCGGUA